UAGAAUAUCAUUUGUAAAAACUUUCUGAAUGAACCAUAUGCCUCUCCAUUUGUCUCUCCGUAACACAGACUUUUCAGGCCUUGGCGAUGACAGUGUUUCCAGAUUCAGUCAUAAAAUAUCACUGGAAGAAUAUUGGUUUAAAAGUUUUCAUUUUGGGAAAAAACUCAAGUUGUUCGAGGCACUAAUCAAUCUCAUUAAUGUAGAGCAUGUGUUCUCUUUCUCCCAUACAAUUUUGGACUUACAGCAAUGACCAUCUGAAAUGUCCAUCAAAGACAAAUACACUGAUGAACCAGGUCAAUGGACUAAGCAUCCUGGCUUCAGAUUACAUCCUGGAAAAUAAGCCCUAUCACUAUGCCAGCAUAGAAGAAAACUACAAAUCCAUGAAAUUUAAAGAUGAGGUUGAACUACCAUUCUGGGUUUUUGAGGAAGACUCUCUGUAAACCUUAAGUCUCUACAGAGCUGUGAGUUCUCAUCGCCAAGCAGUCCAAGGAUCCCCUUGAGAUAAUAGCACCGAUUCUGAUACCCCUUUGCAUUCAUUCUCACAGCCCUCCCCUUUCUGCCAAUCCAUGUGUAAGAGCAGUGUGGAAAACUCACCUCCUCUCCUGAUUAACACCACCAUAUUCACCUUAGAUCAUUACUCUUCCCCAUAGAACUAAUGUCUCCAGCUUAUGCUAUAUCAUCGGAGCCUUGAGAUGUGUUGCUUCGUAAGUAUUUUCCUAUCACUUCACUUGGCUUCUUUCUCCCUAAUUAGACUGUAAGUUUUUCUAGGACAGAGCAUGUUUUCUUUAUUUCUUUUUAACACUUGUUUCCCAAGCUCAGUGUAAUUGUUCCAACAGCAUCGGUGCUUAGUAAUCAUGUUAAAUAAUAAUUCUUUACACUUAAAAGAUACAUUUAACUUUUUAUAUUAAAAAAAACACUUUCACACGUGUUCAUUUGCUUUUAUUCUCACAACAAUCCUGCCAGGCAGACAUAGGUGUAUGUGUCACAUUUCAUAGGAUGUGCAUCCAAGAAUUUUUUUUAAGAUGAACAUGUAUUGAAUACUUGGUAAUAAAGGUUGCUAUUUUUUAUUCGUCA
rnacentral:lncRNA from 1 species